CAUUAGAUGUUACAAGUCCAAGAGAAUUCAUAAAAGGUAUUAAAGUGCUGGUACCAAUAUCAAAUGAGAGACUGACUGAGCGAGACUAACUCAAACGGUAUCCUCAUCUUUUGCCUCUCUGACUUGGAGGGAGAAACUGCUGAUAAGAGAAGAGUAAAAUGGAGGAAGUAAACAACUAUAGCUUAUUUUUCUGACAACACAGAGACUCUGCAUACUGUGUUGAACUGGGGACAAUUUGAAUCCCAAAACAAUCCUGCUAUAGAAAAAAGAUAAAACUGCCACUAGAAGUGUUCUGUUAUAAAGUUCAUUCUAACAAAAACUCAGAACAACGGCUUGUAUCAUUACAGUUGAAUUAUCUACUUUCUCCCUUACCUCCUGACUAAAAGCAGAUAUAAUAAAAAUGCCUGCUCCCAUACCAUAGCUCUUUGGGGAACAUAAACAAGUCACAGAUUAAGUGCAGAGUGAAGGGAUAUUCACUCACAUUAAAUCAGAGAAAACAGAACAUCAAAUCAGGGUUACACAUAUACAGUCCCAGCAAUACGAGGGGGAAAAGCACAGUGAUUAUGUAAACAUAGAAAAUCAAAAAAGAAUCACAACAUAAGAAGGGGAAAAAAAUCAGACAGAGAACCCAAUCUGAAAGAUAAUCUAAAAGAAGAAAAUGCCCUAUGAGUGCUUGCACUAAGAACUUAACCAGCUGAGGCUGAUUUGAGUGAUAACUCCAGUUCUCCCACAUGGGUCAGCCUAGUGGUCAAUUAAACUAUCUCUACUGCAAUGCCACAAUCUUGGUGGAUUGAUUUUGUCUGUGCAGCCAGCAGGAAGAACCCAUUGGGGGAUUACACUUUCCCUUUACAUUCCUUAUCGCAAAUGUAGUUAAGUAUUUCUGUGAUUGUUCAUUUAAUGUCUAUCUCCCUUACUUGACUGUAAGUUCUAGCUGAGCAGGGAACAUAUACAUCUUCCACCA
rnacentral:lncRNA from 1 species